rnacentral:lncRNA from 1 species
AUUUAUACUUUUGUGGUAACAAGUAAGAUUAUGAUACAUGAUAACAAUAAAACAUUUAAACAUAUAUAUAUCACCUAUUUCCUAUAUCACUUGUCAUAUAUCAUCGUUUUCUUGCAUAUCAUGUAACAUUCUUCCAUGUCAUAUUUCCACAUCAUGUACACCAUUCCAUCAACUUUUCCAAUGCAUUCAAUCAUACAAUUUAUGCAAUAAUAGUAAAGAAUUACAUUUCAAACAUAAUAUUACAUUAUUAUUAUCAUACGAACUUACCUCGAAUCUGAGCACGGC